rnacentral:rRNA from 1 species
GAUGAACGCUAGCUACAGGCUUAACACAUGCAAGUCGAGGGACCGGCGCACGGGUGAGUAACAAGUAUCCAACCUGCCCUUUACUCGGGGAUAGCCUUUCGAAAGAAAGAUCAAUACCAGAUUUAAAGGAUGGUGAUGCGUUCCAUUAGGUUGUUGGUGAGGUAACGGCUAACCAAGCCUUCGAUGGAUAGGGGUUUUGAGAGGAAGGCCCCCCAAAAUUGAGCUACGACCCGGUCCAAACUCGGACGGGAAGCGGCAGGAAGGGAUAUUGGUCAAUCAGCGCUAGCCUGGACCAGCCAAGUAGCGUGAAGAAUGAAGGCUUAUGGGGCGUAAACUUGUUUUAUAUAAGAAGAGGUAUUAUAUGAAUAAGGAUCGGCUAACUCCGUGCCAGCAGCCGCGGUAAUAC